GAAGAUGGAGCAGUUCUGGCCCUGGGAUCAGGCACCCAGCCUCUGUCUUGUGCUGCUUAUGAUCACUCUGCCUGGACCCUGUGUCCCUCCGGCUGUCGGUUUCAACGUUUGGUUGUUACCCUCAUCUUACCAGGUAUUCAAAGUGGUUCUUUUAAGAAGCCAGUCUAGGCACUUCAAUAAUCAAAAGGAAAGGAAUAAAUCUUGAGAACAUGCUGUAUUGGAGCAACCUCCUGAUUUUCGUGCUGCAGCAAUAACCACUUGUCUGGCUCAGCAUCUCCACAGAAACUGUUCCAGUACUGGAAUCAUCCAAUCAGAGACCUGCCCACCACACUGAGCGCUACCCUAGGAGUGACAUGAAAGCCAUUUCCUGUCUUUUCCACAGGAGAGCAGGUGCCCUUCCUCCACCAGCCAAGGUGACCUCAACCAAGUUGCUCACUGAACCUGCUCAGGCAUCCAUCUCACUGAGUACCGUCAAAGACCCAAAACACAAGACUAACCCAGCCAGCCAGUCCUCCACCUUUUGUCUGUUCUAGAAUAGCGCUCAGGAACAUAGAGGCCAGAAACAAAAGAAUGACAUCACCCUCCCCACACAUACCCAACUCAUCUUCCCUUGUUCCUAGCUCCUCAGUCCUCUGGCUGAGGCCAGCUUGCUUACACUGUCAAAGCCAUGUCAUAUACCCUAGCUCCUAUGUAGUCAGGAAAACGGCCAGCUCAGUUCUGAGUCAGGCUUGGUCAUAGCUGAGAGCCAAGAAAGAUGGAUGAGGCCGCACAAUUCUGGUGUGCCUUGUCUGGAUUCCCAAGACAAGAGGCAGGUACCAGUGCUAGCCUCAGAGAAAAUCUUAUCAUCCCACUGGAACGACUCUGUUUAAAAAAAAGACUCCAUUGAACAUUUUUAACCGGCAAGCCAUCAUUUAUUUAGAGAAUCAUUUUAACAAAAUUAAGAAUCGCUUGGAGGCACAGAUUUUCUGUAAUACCACUUUCAUUAUCCAAGAACCCAACACUAAAUAUUAUACAAAAUUACAAGAAGAAGUGGGCUUGCCUUUUAAGGGCACAUGAUUAAGGAUCACGUCUACCCAACAAAAGCAAAGAAAGAACGCUAUGAAAUCUGGUGAAUCCAACCACUUAUGGGCCUCGCGAUUUAGGUGUUGGAAGAUGCAAGACCUGUUUUCCUUUGCUGACUUUCUUGUUCCUCCUGUCCUUUAACUGAGAGCAUUCACCUGGCUCAGCCCCCAACGUCUGGGUCCUUCUACACUCCCCUGGGAGAGCUCAGUCAUUCUCCUGGUUCCAACGCUUACCCUGCGCUAGAGAUUUCCUCCCCUUCUCCCAUACACCUAAACCGUAUCUCUGUCUGCCACUGGACAUUGCACCAUCACCUCUAACUCAGUAUGUUAAAAACCGAAGCUCUCAUCCCCACCUUGCUGUCUUGUUAGAGAAGCUCCUAUUGGUCUGGUCACUUGGGUUUGUCAUCUUGGAACCUCUAUCUCCAACUGGAAUGGCUGCUGAGAGACCGAAGUCUCUCCAACGUGUCUCCUCUUCCCUCUCUCCUUCCCACUCCCCCAACUACCAUCUUUGUAUCACAUUGGGCAAAUCUUCCUUCCACCUGACCCUGCUUUCAUGAUUUACUUCCCUGCUCAAACUUUCUUACACCCGGUCAAACUACAGUGUAGUUACAGAGGCUACCACGAUCAGACCCCAUCCUAUCGAAAUCUGUGUUCCACUACUACUUAAGAGUAAUAAAAGCUCCUGUCGCAUACAUUACAAGUGAGCUUUGCAUUAUCUCAAUUCUCACAAGACUAAAUGGAAGCCCCAGAGGAAAAGAUUAUUCCUAUGUUGCAUUGCAGUCUGAGAUUGUGACAGGCAUGAGGCCACACCAGCAAACACUGGAGUCACCAGAACUAGAAUCCAGAUCUUUAGGCUUGUCUUAUGCAAACGUCACUGUAACCUGGACACAGGCCUUCCUCUGUGCCUUCCUCGGCUUCAGCUCAGCCAACCCACAUGGCGGGUCUAGUCCUGAAAGGCUGCUUAAUGCUUCAGUGGAGAUAAAUAAGAAUUUCUGUCCUUGUUUACACUCUGAAGUGGGAGAGGACAGUUACCUCUCCAGAAUGGAAGACCAGGGUAAAUCAGGCAGGAGCACACACAGGGGACCAGGUGUGCCAACUGCAUGCAGCGAAGCACAUGAGUGCAGUCCGAAAGCGAUUCGAGAAGGGCCUUGAGGCUUGAACGUUAGGUAAACCGUCCAGCACAGUCUCUAUGGCGGAUAAUAUCAGAAUUGAAGAUGAGCUAUUCCUUGACCCAGCAAUACCACUGCUAGGAAUACACCCACAGCUACACCAGCCCAUUUGCAGCACAAGAAAAUAUAGAAAAAAACACUUUUGUCAGCUGGGCGCUGAUUAAAUCACUAUGUGUCCACACAAAGGAUCUCUGAGACAUAGUAAGUAGGAAAACAAGGUACAGAACAGUACACAUAGUGUACCCGUAUAUAUGCCCAAAAUAUUUCUGGAAAGGAAACGGUGAUAGUGGUGACCUCCUGGGAGGGAAAAUGGGUGGCUGGGGGGCCAGGGGUAGAAGGGAGACUGGCUUUUCACCUUUAUAUCAUGAACCAUGUGCAUUUAUACAUUUUUGUAAGAAUUAUGCAACAAAUAGCUUUUUAAAAAUCUCUUCACUAUGACAAAGAAACUGCCUUUUAAACCUCGGAAACACACAGUUUAGAGAGGUAACAGGUGACCCCAAUUGUGCCUCUGAGAACAGAACUGUGUCCUCUACCUGCUUAAACCCUCCUCCAAACACUGUACUGGCCCAGCAUUUGGAACCUAAUGGCUGCCUAAUAUUGCUGAAUGGGUGAAAUUUACUUCCCCAUCUAAAAGUAAAGCAGUCCCCCAAAAAGAGGAAUGGUAAAACAGUGAUAAGGGGGGCAGGGGGGAGAGAGAAACAGCAUAGCUGAGAACUGCUUUUGCCGCAUGUACUCACUCACUUACCAUUGUGUGAGCACCCCUGGGAAGGUGCACAGAGGUGUACAGGCUGUGAGAUGUGUGCCCCACCCUCAGUCUACCAGGAGACGGAAGAGACUGUACACAAAGAACAUAGGGUAGAAGGGCUACACGAGUUUUAAAAUAAGGGAUUUAUGAAGCAGCUUAUUAUUAGCAACUAAAAAUCGCAAAUACAAAGGCUACAAUCUCAGAGGAACAUUUUAUUUACGUAAUAAAACUACAGAAAUAAAGAAAGCAGGACAGUCAGCAAGGACAGUCAAUAAGCACACCUGGACACCAGGAAGGCAGGUGGAUGCGAAAGGAGAGCCAUCAACUAAAUUAGCUGGCCCUCUCUUGGCAAUACAGUUACCUACAGAGAGGUUACCCCGAUUCAGUCUUUAGCUGGAUGUAAUCAUUUAUUCAACAAAUCUUUACUGAGCAGCCUACCAUGUGCAGGCCUAGGCUAACUGUCUCUAGCACAUUCAAUUCAUAUAGUUUUGACCUUUGGCUGUCAUCAAUGAUGGGUCCCCACUCUUGCCGCAAAGCACAAGUCAUUUUGGCCUCUCAAGUUGAAGAUCAAUAUUCUACAGCAAAAAGUACAAAGAUUAUUUGCAGACAGAAACAGCGGACGAAGGGUCACAUUACAUGUGCAAGUGCAAGUCUGGUGGAUCCAGAGAAGAGAAACAUACCAGAGAACCAAGUGUAACCAGCCCACGUGUUAACACCAAAAGCCAAGCAAACCUCCUCAGCAUGAGUCUCAUUCAAACAAUACUUAUAAAGGUUUCCUCAUGCUAUUUACAAUUUUAAAGUAAAUUUACUUUAUAAGCAGCUAGGGAAUUCUUUAUUUAAUACCACCCUAACAUCAAAGUUCACAUAACUGCUUCUUUCAAACCAUGAUACUGAGCUUUAUGACAACCUAGGAAUCAGAACUAAAAGAAGGCAAAUAUAAUGCCUUAGAGAUCCAGAAACAUUUA